rnacentral:rRNA from 1 species
GACGUAGGAGGCGAGCGUUGUCCGGAUUCAUUGGGCGUAAAGAGCACGCAGGCGGUUCGGCAAGUCGGUUGUGAAAUCCCAGGGCUCAACCCUGGGACUGCGUCCGAAACUGCCGGACUAGAGGUAGGUAGGGGAGAUCGGAAUUCCUGGUGUAGCGGUGAAAUGCGCAGAUAUCAGGAGGAACACCGGUGGCGAAGGCGGAUCUCUGGGCCUUACCUGACGCUCAGGUGCGAAAGCUAGGGGAGCGAAC